UACGGGGGGGGCAAGCGUUGUUCGGAAUUACUGGGCGUAAAGGGCUCGUAGGCGGCCAACUAAGUCGGAUGUGAAAUCCCCAGGCUUAACCUGGGAACUGCAUCCGAUACUGGAUGGCUUGAAUCCGGGAGAGGGAUGCAGAAUUCCAGGUGUAGCGGUGAAAUGCGUAGAUAUCGAGAGGAACACCUGUGGCGAAGGCGGCCCCCUGGUUGGAUACUGACGCUGAUACGCGAAAGCGUGGGGAGCAAACAGG
rnacentral:rRNA from 1 species